rnacentral:rRNA from 1 species
AAACUAGGAUUAGAUACCCUAUUAUUUUAAGUUUAUUUUUAAAGUAGUAAAUUAUGUUUUUUAAACUUAAUUUUUCUGGCGGUUCACUACUCUAACAGAGGAGCUUGUCAAAUUUGGUUGAUAACCCGCUUUUAAUUUCACCAUUGUUUAUUUUAUGUACGGCUGUUAAGCUUUAAUUUUAUUUUAUUAUUUUAACUUUUAAAAGCUUAUUUCAGGUCAAUGUGUAGAUUAUGCUGUGAAUUUUUUUUAGCUACUUUUAUUUGUUAAAGUUUUUGUCUUUUUUGAAUUUAAAAUUUGAUAGUAAAGUUAAAAUAAAAGUUGAAUUUGGUGUAGACUUUUGGUGGAAGUACAUAUCGCCCGUCACUCUUUUGAUAGAUAAGUCGUAACAUAGUAA